AUUGAACGCUGGCGGCAGGCCUAACACAUGCAAGUCGAGCGAGCGGCGGACGGGUGAGUAAUGUAUGGGAAUCUGCCCGAUGGAGGGGGAUAACUACUGGAAACGGUGGCUAAUACCGCAUACUAUCAGAUGAACCCAGAUGGGAUUAGCUUGUUGGUGGGGUAAAGGCUCACCUAGGCGACGAUCCCUAGCUGGUCUGAGAGGAUGAUCAGCCAAACUGGGACUGAGACACGGCCCAGACUCCUACGGGAGGCAGCAGUGGGGAAUAUUGCAAAAUUGGCGCAAGCCUGAUGCAGCCAUGCCGCGUGUAUGAAGAAGGCCUUAGGGUUGUAAAGUACUUUCAGCGGGGAGGCGUUACCCGCAGAAGAAGCACCGGCUAACUCCGUGCCAGCAGCCGCGGUAAUUC
rnacentral:rRNA from 1 species